GGGGUUGUGGCUCAGCGGUAGAGUGCUCGCCUAGCACAUGUGAGGCCCUGGGUUUGAUCCUCAGCACCACA
rnacentral:tRNA from 1 species